rnacentral:rRNA from 1 species
AUUGAACGCUGGCGGCAUGCCUUACACAUGCAAGUCGAACGGCAGCGCGGGGCAACCUGGCGGCGAGUGGCGAACGGGUGAGUAAUAUAUCGGAACAUACCCUAGAGUGGGGGAUAACGUAGCGAAGUUACGCUAAUACCGCAUACGCACUAAGGUGGAAAGUGGGGGGAUCUUCGGACCUCAUGCUCAUGGAGUGGCCGAUAUCUGAUUAGCUAGUUGGUGAGGUAAAGGCUCACCAAGGCGACGAUCAGUAGCUGGUUUGAGAGAACGACCAGCCACACUGGAACUGAGACACGGUCCAGACUCCUACGGAGGCAGCAGUGGGAAUUUUGGACAAUGGGGGCAACCCUGAUCCAGCAAUGCCGCGUGAGUGAAGAAGGCCUC